CCUACGGGAGGCUGCAGUGGGGAAUAUUGGACAAUGGGGGCAACCCUGAUCCAGCCAUGCCGCGUGUGAGAAGAAGGCCCUCGGGUUGUAAAGCACUUUCAGUGAGGAAGAACGCCUGGUGGUUAAUACCCAUCAGGAAAGACAUCACUCACAGAAGAAGCACCGGCUAACUCCGUGCCAGCAGCCGCGGUAAUACGGAGGGUGCGAGCGUUAAUCGGAAUUACUGGGCGUAAAGCGCGCGUAGGUGGCUUGAUAAGCCGGUUGUGAAAGCCCCGGGCUCAACCUGGGAACGGCAUCCGGAACUGUCAAGCUAGAGUGCAGGAGAGGAAGGUAGAAUUCCCGGUGUAGCGGUGAAAUGCGUAGAGAUCGGGAGGAAUACCAGUGGCGAAGGCGGCCUUCUGGACUGACACUGACACUGAGGUGCGAAAGCGUGGGUAGCAAACAGGAUUAGAUACCCGGGUAGUC
rnacentral:rRNA from 1 species